UACGUAGGGCGCAAGCGUUGUCCGGAAUUAUUGGGCGUAAAGCGCACGUAGGCGGCUUCUUAAGUCGGAGGUGAAAUCCUGGAGCUCAACUCCAGAACUGCCUUCGAUACUGGGAAGCUCGAGUCCGGGAGAGGUGAGUGGAACUGCGAGUGUAGAGGUGAAAUUCGUAGAUAUUCGCAAGAACACCAGUGGCGAAGGCGGCUCACUGGCCCGGUACUGACGCUGAGGUGCGAAAGCGUGGGGAGCAAACAGG
rnacentral:rRNA from 1 species